GUCUAGGGUAGCCUAGUGGACAUGGCAUCUGCCCGGUAAGCGGAACACUGUGGGUUCGAAUCCCAUUCCUCGACA
rnacentral:tRNA from 1 species